UACAGAGGGUGCAAGCGUUGUUCGGAAUUAUUGGGCGUAAAGGGCAGGUCGGUGGUCUUAAAAGUCUGCUGUGAAAUCCCCUGGGCUUAACCCAGGAAGUGCGGCAGAUACUCUAAGACUUGAGUGCCGGAGGGGGUGCGUGGAAUUCCGAGUGUAGCGGUGAAAUGCGUAGAUAUUCGGAGGAACACCAGAGGCGAAAGCGGCGCACUGGACGGUAACUGACACUUAACUGCGAAAGCGUGGGGAGCAAACAGG
rnacentral:rRNA from 1 species